rnacentral:rRNA from 1 species
CCCCUAGAUGUUCUGGGCCGCACGCGCGCUACACUGAACAGUUCAACAAGUUUUUCCAAUGCCGAAAGGCCAUUGGUAAUCAGCAAUAAGUGUCGUGAUGGGGAUAGAUCUUUGGAAUUAUUGAUCUUGAACGAGGAAUGCCUAGUAAUCGUAGGUCAUCAGCCUGCGAUGAUUACGUCCCUGCCCUUUGUACACACCGCCCGUCGCUCCUACCGAUUUCGAGUGGUUCGGUGAACCUUUCGGACCGGCAAUGCCUCGUGUUGCGCCGGAAAGUCAAGUAAACCAUAUCACUUAGAGGAAGGAGAAGUCGUAACA